UACGUAGGGGGCGAGCGUUGUCCGGAUUUAUUGGGCGUAAAGAGCGUGUAGGCGGCCAGGUAGGUCUGCUGUGAAAACUCGAGGCUCAACCUCGAGACGUCGGCGGAAACCAUCUGGCUAGAGUCCGGAAGAGGAGAGUGGAAUUCCCGGUGUAGCGGUGAAAUGCGCAGAUAUCGGGAAGAACACCCGUGGCGAAGGCGGCUCUCUGGGACGGUACUGACGCUGAGGAGCGAAAGCGUGGGGAGCGAACAGG
rnacentral:rRNA from 1 species